rnacentral:lncRNA from 1 species
AUAUCAGUUGAUAAUAAAAAGCAUAUGAGUUGUAAUUUCAAGAUCUCAAUACAACAGCAACUCACAACUUAAUAUGCACAAACAAUAUCAAAAAUUAAAUGACAAAAAUGAAACAAUCCGAAAUCAAAUCGAAAACUAAAUGCGACAAACAAACUUAGAUUCUAACAUCAACACAGAAAGCACAAUCCAGAAUGUAAAAACUGACCACCGAUGGAUCUAAAACUCGGAAUUGAAUCAUAACAUAAUUGGAAACUAAAUCAAGCUAGCAAACAAACAAGAACAUAACCAGAUUGAAAUGAUACACAACUCAAACAGAAUGAAAUUCGGAUAGAAAUAUACCGAACACUAUGCGAGUGAAACCGUCAAUGGAAGCUGCAAGUUAUUGUUGUUGUUUGGAAAUCUCCUUUAUUGUUAAGCCUGAAUCUCUUCCUGAUAAAACCUGACUGAGUUGAUUCAAAUGAUACUUAAUGCAUUUAUGUUACUAACCAUGGAAGUGAAAUCGCGUUGCUUCAACAUGUGCGGUCAUAUGAAGCAUGGUCGUUGUGUUAUGCGUGUCUAAGGUCGGUCGGACAUGGUGUUGGUUCAUGUAUGACGGAUCAGGGUGGAUUUCACUGUGGUUGAAGAAUGGAGAGGUUAUGGGUGGGUUGUUGAGAAGGCAGAAAAGGAUGUCAUGAUGAUGAAGGCGGCGUGGCAGAGCAAAGGAGAAGAGGAAGAUGGAGUGUGG